CGCCUCUUGAUUACCAUAAGAGGUCUAGCCUGCCCAGUGACCAAUUUAACGGCCGCGGUACCCUAACCGUGCAAAGGUAGCAUAAUCACUUGUUUCUUAAAUGGGGACUAGUAUCAAUGGCAUCACGAAGACUACACUGUCUCCCCUUUAAAAUCAAUGAAACUGAUCCCCUCGUGAAGAAGCGAGGAUAUAAAUAUAAGACGAGAAGACCCCAUGGAGCUUUAAACGAACUUCAAUUGCUCCCCUCCUUACCAUAUAAGUUGAGCACUAAUGAUAGGUAGUUUUCGGUUGGGGCGACCGCGGAGUAAAACAAAACCUCCACAAUGAAUGUAAUAAAUACUAAUAAAAGAACCACAAUUCUAAUAAUCAAAAAUUUGACAUAAAUUGACCCAAACACUUGAUCAAUGAACCAAGUUACCCUGGGGAUAACAGCGCAAUCCAUUUUAAGAGCCCUUAUCGACAAAUGGGUUUACGACCUCGAUGUUGGAUCAGGGUAUCCCAGUGGUGCAGCCGCUACUAAUGGUUCGUUUGUUCAACGAUUAAAACCCUACGUGAUCUGAGUUCAGACCGGAGUAAUCCAGGUCGGUUUCUAUCUAUUAAACACUCUUUCUAGUACGAAAGGACCGAGAGAAUGUGGCCUCCAACUCAUGCCAUAACUAUACAUUAAUGACUAAAACUCAAUUACACAGAACUUACCAUCCUAUCAUAGAAAAUGAUA
rnacentral:rRNA from 1 species